rnacentral:rRNA from 1 species
GUGGGGAAUAUUGGACAAUGGGCGAAAGCCUGAUCCAGCCAUGCCGCGUGUGUGAAGAAGGUCUUCGGAUUGUAAAGCACUUUAAGUUGGGAGGAAGGGCAGUAAGUUAAUACCUUGCUGUUUUGACGUUACCAACAGAAUAAGCACCGGCUAACUUCGUGCCAGCAGCCGCGGUAAUACGAAGGGUGCAAGCGUUAAUCGGAAUUACUGGGCGUAAAGCGCGCGUAGGUGGUUCAGCAAGUUGGAGGUGAAAUCCCCGGGCUCAACCUGGGAACUGCCUCCAAAACUACUGAGCUAGAGUACGGUAGAGGGUAGUGGAAUUUCCUGUGUAGCGGUGAAAUGCGUAGAUAUAGGAAGGAACACCAGUGGCGAAGGCGACUACCUGGACUGAUACUGACACUGAGGUGCGAAAGCAUGGGGAGCAAACAGGAUUAGAUACCCGAGUAGUCC